CUACGGGUUGCACCAGUGAGGAAUUUUGCGCAAUGGGGGCAACCCUGACGCAGCAACGCCGCGUGAGUGAAGAAGGCCUUUGGGUCGUAAAGCUCUGUCAACAGGGAAGAAGUUAUUUAUGGUUAAUAGCUGUAGAUAUUGACGGUACCUGUGGAGGAAGCAUCGGCUAACUCCGUGCCAGCAGCCGCGGUAAUACGGGGGAUGCAAGCGUUAUUCGGAAUCAUUGGGCGUAAAGGGCACGCAGGCGGCUCUGUCAGUCAGAUGUGAAAGCCCGGGGCUCAACCCCGGACGUGCAUUUGAAACAGCAGAGCUUGAGUACGGUAGAGGAAAGCGGAAUUCCUGGUGUAGAGGUGAAAUUCGUAGAUAUCAGGAGGAACACCGGUGGCGAAGGCGGCUUUCUGGACCGAAACUGACGCUGAGGUGCGAAGGCGUGGGUAGCGAACAGGAUUAGAUACCCGCGUAGUC
rnacentral:rRNA from 1 species